rnacentral:rRNA from 1 species
UACGUAGGGGGCAAGCGUUGUCCGGAUUUAUUGGGCGUAAAGAGCGUGCAGGCGGUUUGGUAGGUCCGCUGUGAAAACUCGAGGCUCAACCUCGAGACGCCGGUGGAAACCAUCAGGCUAGAGUCCGGAAGAGGAGAGUGGAAUUCCUGGUGUAGCGGUGAAAUGCGCAGAUAUCAGGAGGAACACCGAUGGCGAAGGCAGGUCUCUGGGCCAUUACUGACACUGAGAAGCGAAAGCAUGGGGAGCGAACAGG